GGUCGACGCACGCGCAUUAAAGUGACACAUCGACCGUUUCUGGACCAUGUCGCGAAGUGGAUCCUGCAAAGUCUACAUUGGGAAUCUACCUCCAGACGUGCGCGAGCGCGAUCUAGAAGACCUGUUUUACAAGUUCGGGAAGAUUGCGCUGCUCGAUUUGAAGAAUCGGCGCGGGGGAGCUCCUUUUGCCUUUAUCGAGUUUGAGGAUCCAAGGGAUGCUGAAGACGCCAUUCUAGCCAAGGACGGCACGCUUCUCGAUGGCUACCGUAUUCGGGUCGAAAGUCCUCGUGGCACGGAGCGAGGCCGCGGUGGGGUCCCCCUAAGGGGUAACGGCCGCGACCACGGUGGGAGAUAUGAACGUGAUUCACACUACGGGUCUGGACGUCGUGGUGGUGGACACGGGCCACCACAGAAUCGAAGAACGGGUCACAGAGUGGUCGUCACUGGCUUACCUCCGACGGGCAGCUGGCAGGAUCUCAAGGAUCAUUUCCGAGAGGCCGGUGACGUCAUUUAUACUGACGUAUUCAAUGACGGAACGGGCGUGGUUGAGUUUUCACGGCGCGACGGGAUGCGCACAGCCAUGAAGCAUCUUGAUGAUACUAAGUUCAGAUCUCAUGAAGGAGAGACUUCCUACAUUCGUGUGAAGGAGGAUGCUAGACAGAGUCGAUCACAUUCCAGAAGCAGAUCGCCAUUUCAGAGGGCACCAUCCGGUCGAGGAGGCCGUUCACCAUUUCGACGAGGACGAUCUCCACCAGCUCGUGCUCAGCGCGGAAACUUUUACGGCGGCGGUCGCUCCCGCAGUCGAUCGAGGUCACCCAAAAGGGCAUUCCGGAAUUCCAGAUCACCGAGCAGAGAUCGGGGCCGAAUGCGUUCGACACGAUCCAGAUCAUGAGAUUGACACUAGGAUAAGUCUGUUGGACCAGCUUGACUGGCGACUUGUUCAGGGUGUGUUGCCCAAUGGAGUCUAAAUGUCUGUCACAUAGUAUCGGACAAGCUGUUUCUAAUGGACAAUCAAUGUCCUUUGGAUGGGAGCUAUGUGACAUCCUGCAUGGAAUAUCAUGAUUCAUAAGCAUCUAAGCGGACUCACACCUCACACACGGAAUCAUGGUAGAACCACACUUACCAUUCUAAAGACAGACAAAACCUGAUUGAAAAUUUCAAUGGCAACAUAAACAUAACGCAUGGAAGGACAAACCUUUUUGUGUUGGUCGGUGGCAUGUAUGGCAAACUGGAACGAAACCAAAUUACAGUGGGAAGAACAGGAUGGGCAGUUGAUAUCACAAAGUAGGAAGGAAAGGUUGAAAUGACAAAAUAGGAAGGAAACUUUUCUAGGACCGAUGUCGGGUGGAAUCAGUCAGUGCUUGAUGCCGUAUCCCCAAUUCCAUCUGCUGUUAUUUCUUAACCCACUAACAGUGACUUCGUUCUGUGUUUACGGAAGAGAGAAGGCAGAGGAACAGUAGCGUGGUGAACAUACGGGACUUCAUGUCCCAUCCGAUUUGGAACUGUAGUCAUCGCGGAUGUGUAAGCGGUCUCUCCCCUCCUGCGGGACGAUUAUUAAGUAAAAUUGUAUGUAAAAAUGUGGUAUUUGCUGGAACGGACGCUCAGCGACGAUGCAGCCGUUGCUCUGGGGACGCUGACAAUUAUUGUAGCGAUAAUCUCAACUGAGUGAAACGCCACGGCAAGCGACGACGUCUGAUUGUGUUACGACGUUCUAGUCAGACAAGGUCUUCUCAAAUUGUUGCAAUCAGGCGUAUGUAGCCGAAUGCUCUCUCUGGCUCUCUCGUGUGACUCCGCUGGUGUGCAGUAAGAGCUCGAUUUCAAAGGGAUAUGACACUGAAUGCGGCCUGUGUGAAAGCCGACAAGAAAAGAAGGAAAUUUGAUUAGUUAUGACAUCUACAGAUGAAUUACAUGGACAGGAGCUGGUUGUCAUCGACUCAACUGGAUAUGAGUUCACGCGAGUCACGUGAUGGGGGCGAGACCGCAAGGAAACUUCGAUAUAAGACUUUAGUUUAGACUUUGACAAGAUAAGUAGUGUACUUUCAAUUUUUUCUAAUUAACACUUUCGGUAUCCAACACAAACAGCAACAGGAAACGAUGUGGCAAUAACAGUAUCUACAACAGCAUGAGGUUUUUGGGUAUUGAUUAGUAGUUUGUAUUAUCUCUGUUUGAGAGACCAUUUCCUAGCUGCCUACACAUUUACAAGCCUGGCAUUUAUACGGUAAUGUAUUGGAAUGGUCAUAUCUAAAAUGAGAGCAGAAUUACUUUCUAGAAGGAGUUGAUUGUACACUAGACAAAUAUUUUUAAUUAUUUUAAGUACACUGUAACUAGGUAGCUACACAAGUUAGCUAAAUU